UCAUUUAAUUGGAACUGGCUUACAGUUCAGAGGUUUAGUCCAGUACAGUCACAAUGGGAAGCAUGGCAGAGUGUGGGCAGGCACGGUGUUAUCAAGACAGCUAAGAGUUCUACAUCUGGAUUCUCAAGCAGCAGAAAGAGAGAAUAAGCCACUGAACCUGGCUUGAGCCUUUGAAACCUCAAAGCCCACCUCAAUGACACACUUCCUCCAAGGCCACACCUCCUAAGAGUACCACACCCUGUGGGCCUAUGGGGGCCAUUUUUAUUCAGUCUUGUUUUGUAUAUUCCUGUGAGCUGGCCCCUCUGUGACAACUUCUGCAGAAUCAAGAGCCUGGAAGGUUCUAGCUCAUCCCUGCAAACUACACUGAGGCCUGCUAAGCUAGCCCAUCCUGACAAUCUUGGGUCAGCAAAUGUGGGCCCACAUCAACCUUUCUAACUUAUGCUGCCUGGAAACGACUCCUCUUACAGAGACUGAGCAUAUGGAUGCUGAAUGUGACAACACAGCUCAACAAAAUAGGGUGAAGAAAGGAGAUCCCGUCCAACUGGACGCCACUGGUUCAAGCAUUGUCUGUUAGCUUGGUCAGUUUUCCCAGAGUCCCCUAGAGGCAGGUUCUCCAGGGAAAGAACCAAUAGAUACCCUAUAGAUGCAUGAGAGGAUUUUUCAUGGAGGCUAAGACCCACUAUAUGCUGCCAGCAGACUAGCAACCAUGGAAAUCUGUGACAUAAGUCCAAAGACCUGAGAGCCAGAAUUACUAAGGAUAUAGCUCUCAGUUUUAGGCUGAAGGCCCAAGAAAAUGCAAGGGGUUGGGAGGGAAUUGGCCUAAGUCUCAGAGUCUGAAAAUCAGAAUGUUUGAAGUUCUCCUGGUAAAGACCAGAAGACUGGUGCCUCUGACUCUAGAGGACUAUACAAGUUUGUCUUCAGCUCUUGAGGCUUACUCAGCCCACUGACUCAAAUCCGUUCCCGGCUUGCCUCACAUUGUCACACACCUCAGUGGAAGUGGGUGUUGUUUCUUUUUCACAGAUGAAUACAGAAAGAGUCUAGAAGAUGAGUGGACUUGCCUAAGGACACACAAUUGUGCUAAGCUAGCUUGAGCUACACAGCCAGAUCAGACCCUACUUCAACCACAGAAAGAUCUGCACUUGCCAUGAGCAUGUAGAGACACCAGAAAGGAGGAGACUGGACUGAAUCAGGAACGUCCUCAGAGGUAGGUCGGGUCAGCCCAAUCUUAUUGUUGUGGAGCCCUAGAUCUCUGCCUAAGGGUUUGAUCAAAGGUGGUUUGAUUAUUUCUGUGCUCUGAUAAAAAUACUCUGACAAAAUGCAUCACAGAGAGGAAUGUUUAUUUGGUUUAGAGUCCAUUGUUGUGGAGGAAGUUAGGGACAGGCAUCUUAACAUCACACCGUCUCCACAGUCAGUACCAGAGAGAAGCAAGCACACCCAUGCUGCCUCCCUGCUCACUGUCAGCUAGAUUUCUCCACUCCAUCUCUCAGGGUCUGUCCCAGGAAAUGGUACUUACUGCCUUCCUUCAGGGUGGGUCUUCCCACCUCAAUUUACAGACAAGACACCCACAACACACCAGACCAACCCACAGGCCAUCCCUCAGUAAGACUUUUCUUAGAUGAUUUUAGGCUGACAGUUAAAAAGCAAUUGGCAAAGACAGGUCACCUGUAAUAGACAGACAUUGCAUCUGUGGGCAAGGAAAUGUCCCAGGACCAAUUCUGGCAUCUCAUAGUCAACCUUUAGAUGCAAAGUGUCCACCUCCUUGCUACCAGGACAAAGGACAUGAUGUCUCCUGUCAGCUACUAGUCCCACAAAGGCUGUACCCCUAUAUGAAACUCAUCUGUUGACGUUGGUGCCAGCAGAGCAGCAGCCCUGAUUGGAUGCUGACGACAGCAGUGGUAGCAGCCACGGUGAGCCCCUGACACCCAGGACUUGGACAUGGUAGAGGGCUGCUAGCCCAUCUUUCAGUGGUGGUUGGUGAGUUCACUGAGUCAGACCUACAGUGUGCUCUGGGGCACUAUUCUUAGAAGCUUACUGGAAAGGUCCCCUCCUCCAGUGCCUCUGUGGGCCCCUAACAUCUUUCACCCUUUCACCUUUCAGCUUAAAGCAGCUAGGAUUUCUACUCAAGAACUCUGACAGAGACCAAAGCAAGCUGGAGCCUGGAAGACUUGGAGGACUGGCUUGUUGACUGCAGGGCAAAGGCAACUUUCUCCACUGUACUGAGCCUCUCUUAGAAGUCAGCAGCCUCUGUGCUCACUAGUGCUUUGCCUAUGUGGGAUGGGAGGCAUCAAGGCAGAGAACAGAAAAGCCACAAUACCUUGGCUUCUUGGUGACAUCAGCACACUGCUGGGAGGGCUCUAGCCCCACAGAGCCCUGGACAGUCCCAUCACUGAACUAAUAACCAACUCAUGUGGUUUCUAUCCCCAGCAACCCAAGCAUUCACACUGUACGAGACAAAGGCAAUGAUUUCUGGGGUGUAGACACACACAUACCCAGCCAUGCCUAAGCUGCUCUGACUGCCGUGCAUGCUCUGUAUGCAUCUGUUCUCUCCAUCAGCCUUAUCCACAUCAACCCUGUUGGGAUACACACAUUUCAUUCUGUAAAGUAUACCCUCUCCCUGUUCCUCCCUGCCCUUUGAUGGGCAAAGUGAUCUCCUGCCUCAAUUCACACAACUACUAAGUUGGGAAGCUGAAGGAUGCCCAGAUUCCAGGCUUUUAUCCACUGUGUUUAAUGGCAUUGCUACCCAACCUCAUUACAUUGCAAAGUAGAAUCUGUAGCUUUGAACCAGCUCCCUCGCUUUGCUGCAGAGGACAAAUCCAGCUUGGUCUCUUACUCUCUGUUCAUGAUCAUACUUUCUGUUGUGUUUUGUUUAUUUGAAACAGGGUCUCAUGUAGCCAAGGCCAACCUCAGAGAGCUCCUGAUCUUUUUGCCUCUACCUCCCAAGUACUAAGAUUGUAGGUAUAUUACAGGUGCUCACCACACCAGUCUUCAGGCCCACUCUGAAAUGAAGUUGACAGGACCACCUUCUUGGAAGCUGACUAUCGUCGGUGCUGCUUAACAAAGGUGUUUGGCUCCCCACUAUGUCAGUGCACACAUGAUGGAACUUCUGGUUCUCUCGGUCAGGUCACGGUCUGCUCAAAGAUUGUGAAUAGAGGGAGAACGCAACAGUUUCUGGUACAAAAUAUUAAAAGCUAGAAUGAGACAGGGUUCUAUCUGUCCAGCAGAGCAGUGCUCUGGACAGCGGUGGCUCUGCCAAGCAGAGUCCCUAGCCCACACAAUAUGAGUUAAGCAUGAGCGCUCUGGUUCUAAGCCAUCUAGAACUGGGCCUUGAUGGAUAUCCUAGUGUGCAUUGGUCUGUCUCACUGACUGUUUUCUCCUCCACAGGUAUUAGUCUUGUAUUUAUGAAUUCAUUUCAACUGAGGAAAUGAUGUUUUAAAUGGCAUCUCUACUGAGGGGAGAACCUAAGUGAGCAGCAUGGCAACUCUUUAUAUCACGUUUACUCUGUAGUGUAUUAAAGCAAUCCAAAAAUG
rnacentral:sRNA from 1 species